UGGUGGAGUGAUUUGUCUGGUUAAUUCCGUUAACGAGCGAGACCCCCGCCUGCUAACUAGUUGCGUGAUUCUUGCAAUCAUGUCAACUUCUUAGAGGGACGAUGGAUGUUCAAUCCAUGGAAGUUGGGGCAAUAACA
rnacentral:rRNA from 1 species